rnacentral:snRNA from 1 species
AUACUUACCUGGCAAGGGAGAUACCAUGAUCACCAAGAAUGUUCUCUAUAAAACUGAUAGCAAUAGUAAUGGUGAAUGGUAAGCUAAUUUGCAAUUCUAAAAACAUGAGUUAAAAAAUGGCUCAAAGUUGGCUGGGUGCGGUGGUUCACACCUGUAAUCCCAGC